AUUGCAGGAUAAAAACGCAAUGCACAUCGUAUGAUGUGUUAGAGCUGGUAGGUAGCCCAGCCGUCUGAAAAACAUUCAGGUAAGUAACCUGCCCUCCGGGUUGUCCGUUCUUGCAAAAUA
rnacentral:ncRNA from 1 species